AGUGAACGCUGGCGGUAGGCCUAACACAUGCAAGUCGAACGGCAGCACAGGAGAGCUUGCUCUCUGGGUGGCGAGUGGCGGACGGGUGAGGAAUACAUCGGAAUCUACUCUGUCGUGGGGGAUAACGUAGGGAAACUUACGCUAAUACCGCAUACGACCUACGGGUGAAAGCAGGGGACCUUCGCGCCUGGCGCGAUUGAGUGAGUCGAUGUCGGAUUAGCUAGUUGGCGGGGUAAAGGCCCACCAAGGCGACGAUCCGUAGCUGGUCUGAAAGGAUGAUCAGCCACACUGGAACUGAGACACGGUCCAGACUCCUACGGGAGGCAGCAGUGGGGAAUAUUGGACAAUGGGCGCAAGCCUGAUCCAGCCAUACCGCGUGGGUGAAGAAGGCCUUCGGGUUGUAAAGCCCUUUUGUUGGGAAAGAAAUCCAGCAGGCUAAUACCCGGUUGGGAUGACGGUACCCAAAGAAUAAGCACCGGCCAACUUCGUGCCAGCAGCCGCCGUAA
rnacentral:rRNA from 1 species